GGACGCAGAGCUCAGUUGGUAGAGCAGCUGACUCUUAAUCAGCGGGUCCUAGGUUCGAGCCCUAGUGCGUCCACCA
rnacentral:tRNA from 1 species